rnacentral:rRNA from 1 species
CCCCUAGAUGUUCUGGGCCGCACGCGCGCUACACUGAACAGUUCAACAAGUCUUAACCUUGGCCGAUAGGUCUGGGUAAUCUUUGAACGCUGUUCGUGAUUGGGAUAGACCUUUGCAAUUAUGGGUCUUCAACGAGGAAUUCCUAGUAAACGCAAGUCAUCAGCUUGCAUUGAUUACGUCCCUGCCCUUUGUACACACCGCCCGUCGCUCCUACCGAUUUCGAGUGGUUCGGUGAACCUUUCGGACCGGCAAUGCCUCGUGCUGCGCCGGAAAGUCAAGUAAACCAUAUCACUUAGAGGAAGGAGAANUCGUANCA